rnacentral:rRNA from 1 species
UACAGAGGGUGCAAGCGUUAAUCGGAAUUACUGGGCGUAAAGCGUGCGUAGACGGUUAUUUAAGUCAGGUGUGAAAGCCCCGGGCUCAACCUGGGAAUUGCAUUUGAGACUGAAUAGCUAGGGUGCGGAAGAGGGAAGCGGAAUUUCCGGUGUAGCGGUGAAAUGCGUAGAUAUCGGAAGGAACACCAGUGGCGAAAGCGGCUUCCUGGUCCAGCACCGACGUUCAGGCACGAAAGCGUGGGGGAGCAAACAGG